GGCCAGAGUGCAGUUUACAGUGAAUUGAUCACAACCAGUUAUAGAUUUAUUUGCUCCUUCUCCACUCCCACUGCUUGACUAGCCUUAA
rnacentral:sRNA from 1 species